rnacentral:RNase_P_RNA from 1 species
AUUGGCUUGUCGCGGUGAAUCAUCAUUUGAUUUGCUGAGGAAAGUCCGGGCAACAAAGAGCAGCAUACUUCCUAACGGGAAGGGACUGAUUUUGCAGUAAUGCAGUUCGGUUACAGAUAGUGCCACAGAAAACAAACUGCCGAUGUCGAUGUUUUUCGGCAGGCGAUGGUGAAAAGGUGAGGUAAGAGCUCACCAGUGCAGCUGGCAACAGUUGUAGCUAGGUAAACCUUAUGCGUUGAAAGACCAAAUAAACCAGGGAUUGAAGGUUGCUCGCCUGAUCCUGGAGGGUAGGUUGCUUGAGGCCAAUAGUGAUGUUGGUCCUAGAUAAAUGACAAGCGUCCAUAAGGACACAGAACCCGGCUUAUAGAUU